rnacentral:rRNA from 1 species
AAGCUCGUAGUUGAAUUUCGGGGUUAGUAGGUUGGUCAUGCCUCUGGUAUGUACUGGUCUCACUGAUUCCUCCUUCCUUAUGAACCGUAAUGCCAUUAAUUUGGUGUUGCGGGGAAUUUGGACUGUUACUUUGAAAAAAUUAGAGUGUUUAAAGCAAGCUAACGCUUGAAUACAUUAGCAUGGAAUAAUGAAAUAGGACGUUCGAUCUUAUUUUGUUGGUUUCUUAGGAUUGACGUAAUGAUUAAUAGGAAGUUGGG